CACUUGCUGAUAACACGCUGUGGAAUAAUGCCACAGUGUGCCUCUCAAAGCCUACCUGACAAGCUGCCUGACAGUGGGGGAGUGCGAGCACGUGUCACGUCAGCCCUCUAAUUGGGCACAAGGACCUUCCUCCGUGGAACCUUGUCGCGCUCCACAUAAAGCUCACAAGGCCUUCAAACCAGAGCCCGUCUAACUUGGCAACCGGUGUCGGCUCCGUUCCUGCCGAGCUAAGUGCUAAAUACCAGGGUUGUAAUGAGACAGGCAGGCCACACCUCAUCGCUGACCAACCGAAUACCAAACCCAACCCUGCAGGACGGGAAAUGGAAAGGAAGCGCUCCAUCUGAUCAACUUCUGAGUCUGCGACUUCAAAGUGAUGGCAGGGCGGAGGAGAGGAGACAAGGAGAGGAGGGUCCAAGUCUGCAUGACAUUUUGUUCCUCUUUCUAGGAGUGGAGCGGAAGCAAGUUUAAAUUUGGAUUUGAGGAGAGGAUAUCACUAUUUAUAUCUCUGCUUGUUUAGUUAGUGCUGGCCUCUACUUAAC